rnacentral:rRNA from 1 species
AGAUUGAACGCUGGCGGCAUGCCUUACACAUGCAAGUCGAACGGCAGCACGGGAGCAAUCCUGGUGGCGAGUGGCGAACGGAUGAGUAAUGCCUAGGAAUCUGCCUGAUAGUGGGGGAUAACGCUCGGAAACGGACGCUAAUACCGCAUACGUCCUACGGGAGAAAGCCAGGGGACCUUCGGGCCUUGCGCUAUCAGAUGAGCCUAGGUCGGAUUAGCUAGUUGGUGAGGUAAUGGCUCACCGAGGCGACGAUCCGUAACUGGUCUGAGAGGAUGAUCAGUCACACUGGAACUGAGACACGGUCCAGACUCCU